rnacentral:lncRNA from 1 species
GAGUUGAUGUGGAGAUGAAAAAUUUAGGUAGUUUUUUUUAGGGCAAAUAGCGUCAAAAUCCGUAUACUUUCUCCGUUUUCGCAUAUUUCCCCUGACUUUAAAAAUUCGCGAUAGAAUCCUUGACUUUUAAUCCCGUUCGCGUUUCUCCCUAAAAAAUGACCGGCGAUAUAUAGAUAUGAUGACAUGGAGUACGGAAAUCCACGUAGGAUUAAAUUCCGGCGUAUUAAGCGACGUAGUUUUACUUAAUAAUGUAAAACGUCGUCGUUUUGCCUUUUUUAGGGAUUUAAAUGUAAUCCAACAUAGAAAAUUAGGGGAAAAUUGAUUUGUUACUCUAAUUAGGGUUAUUCUUCUUGGGUUCUUCUUCUUCAGCCAAAUCCAUGUCUUUCUCGUCAUCAUCCCGGCGGAAUUUCAGCCACGAGGGCCGAGUUAUGUGCAGCCAUGGACUCCAAGCUUCAAUACCUUGAAGCUUCGAAUGAGGAACGAGAGGGAGCUGCGAGCGGCUGGAGUCCGGCUGCGCGUCGGGCAGGCUGAGGGCAGCAACUAGGGCGUGAGCUUGUGCGGCGUCGGCAGCGGUUGACGGCGACUCAGCUGACCGGGGUGCGCGGAGAGAAGGCGGCAACCGGUGGUGCAGUCCGGCGGCGACGGUAGUGCAGCGCUAGAGGGGGAGAGACAGCGCCAGAUGGAGGAGAGAAAAGAGAAGAGGGUAGUUUGUAUGUGAGUGAGAGAGCUAGAUGGAUGGGAGCUUUGCUGGCGGUUGGCGGUUGGCGGUCUUCGGCGGCGGAGGGAGACGGAGGCAGUAGGCUGCCAGAGGAGGAGGGAGGUGGCUGGGCGUGGAGAGGGUGUUCGACAAGUUAAUUAAUUGGAGAGGAAAACGACGACGUUUUCGUUUCAUUUAAGUGACUCAGCAAUCUUACUUAAAUGACUCAGCAAAAUAAUGCCACAUAGGUGACACGUCAUUGUAGUUAGUCGCCGGAAACUUCAUUAAGGGAAAAUUACGAAUUUUAUCAACGGUUAAGGAUUCUAUCGCGAAAUUUAAAAGUCAGGGGAAAUAUGUGAAAACGGGGAAAGUAUGGGGAUUUUGACGCUAUUUGCCCUUUUUUUAUAUAUUAUUUUUCUUUAUUUUUUUAUAUAGUGUCUAAGUCAGUUUCCGACGAAUUGCUUCACUUCUCAAUUGAUCGAAAUUUUGACUCGGACUAUAAGUUAAACAACGAAAGUAAAUUUAGGCUAUAUUUGUAAUUUUUAUAAAUUCAGAUUAAAAAAUCCAUAUAAAAUCAAAAUUCGGACUAUUUUUUAAUAAUAAAUAAAUAGCAACUUACUACUGUGGGAGGAGCAUCCUUUUGCUUGCACAUGAUCCAUGGCACACCAUUGUAUAGGCCAACGGCCAUGUCUGCAGCCCACUUUAUGUAUUUUGUGCCCAUUUCCCUAUAUGAAAGUUGCACAUUGUUGUACUCAUUUUCGAUCUGCACUUUAUAAAAAUACGAAUUUUUAUUUACAUAUACAACAACCCUUAUUUUAUGAUUACGAUACUACACAAAUAAAUAUACAAUAUUGUUUCUUUGCAAUGCUCUUGAUCAGAUUAAAACAAGUGGGAAUAUUAUAAGCAUAUCCAAAUUAUACCUGCGCCAUGAUAAUGGGGCCUCCUUGAUCUGCAAAGAGCUUCUCUGCUUUCACCAUGUUUAUAAUUGUUUCUGCAUACUUCUUCAUGUGGAACUGCAUUUUGGAAUUAAAUUAGGUCAUUUUAUUGGAUAAUGUAGUUUCCUAUAAAUAGGGGUGGAUCCAGGAACAAAAAAUAAACAUUUCAGUCGACGGCAGGGCCGGCGCCAUUACGGUGAUCAGAUGAAACGAGAAGCGAAAGUGGACGAGAAAGGUAUUUAAGGUGUUCAGUUUGAUCUCUUUGCUCGUACCGCACACUUCACUAACACGGAAACUUUAUUUCAAUUUUUAAUUACUUUCGACUUUGACUAAUUUUGAAUUGGAUUUAAUAUAAUAUACGAGUAUAUUAAAUUUUUCCGUACUUAGAAACGGCACGUAUAUAUCAAUAAUAUCGAAGUAUUACCAUAAAAGGUUCGUUGUAAGAGCGGAAUGUGAUGUUGGGAACCUCCUUCAACCAGUAUGGAAAUCCCCUAUUAAUAAAAACAAUAGAAUUAAAAGGUAAAAAACUAAACAUACAAUUUUGAGAAAAAACUUUGAAUUAAAACAUAUAUACCCCAUGUUCCAUUCUGCUUCAAUGUAAGGUCCAAUUCUAAGGGUCACCCACAAACCACUAUCCCCUAUUAAUUUGAUGUAUUUCAACAAAUCAUAGUUCCCUUCAAAGUUGAGCUGCACCCACAAAAAACGGGAAAAAAAUAGUAAGUAGAUACUAUAUCUUAUGUGCACCCAGUAAAGAAAAAGUGGCUUUGGUGAAUAAAAUCAUGAACUAUUUUGAAAUUGUAAUUUUAACGAGAUUUUUGAAGUGUUGCAAAUUAAAUCAUCAUAUUUUCACGUCCCUCUAAUUUUCAUUUUAAAUUGGAGCUUUCGUGUAUUAGUAAAGACGUCAUAAUUUUUGUAAGGCUUAAGCAACGUUGUUUCGUACAAUUUCAAUUAAAAUUUCUUAAAAUUAUAAAAGGAUUGUAUCUUGUAUUUGCACCAUAAUUUCCAGUAUUCAACAAUUUUAUAAAAAACAACAUUGUAAUAUGAAUAUUGCGUGGCAAAUUAAUUUACGUAAACUCCAACUUAACGUUCCAACAAUCGAAAAAAUUUGAGGGAGCAAAAUUAUAAAAAAUUGAACAAAUAAUAAUUUAAUUUAUUACAUUUCAACAAUCUACAUUUAAAAUAGCUCAAAAAAGGGAAUGCGAAUAAUAUAUAUACGUACCUUGCCUUGAACAGGCUCGUGAAUAUUCCAAAAUACAUAAGUUUGUAUCACAUUGAGGCCACAUUCUUUAGCCUUUUUUAUGAGAUCAGGCCACAUCUGUCCAAACAAUUACAAUAGUGCCAUUAUUAAAUGUCUCAAAUUUAUAAUCCUAUUUCCCUUUUCUUUUUCAAUGACCAAUCAAGUCCGUUAUUUUAUUACUUCCUUCCUUCGUUUGCAAAAAUAUAUAUAUAUAUAUUUUAAUUAUUUUAGUAUGUUCACAAAAAUUAGUCUAUUUUUCAUUUUUUACAUCUUAUAUCACAUGAUGAGCCCCUUUAUUCAUUCACAACACAAAUAAUUAUCAUUAUUAACACUAUCUUUUAAGUGAAAUCAUUUCUUUAUUCACAAUACACUCAACUAUUUUUAUUAAAACUCGUGUCAUCCUCUUGUAAAACUAUUUUUUAUAGACGGAGGGAGUAAUGUGUUACUUACGUCUGGAGUGCUGCGUGGAUAAUGGAUCGAGCCGGAGAAUAAUAGCUCUCUACUCCCAUUAAUGAUAAGUGAUCGGGCGUCGUACGUGACGACGGGCUGAUUUAUAUCUCUGAUCCUCUUGGCACGUGCGUCCGAUAUGAGUAAUGACAAGAGAACUAGCAAGAGAAAUCUGCUAAUUUCAGGCAUUCUUUUGUCUCGAUCAUGAACGACCCUCUUGUUUUUAUUGCUCUGACUUUGAUUUCUCGAUUUUUUUUCUUUCGAGAGAAAAAUUAGUUCAGAAAUGGAUAGUGAAUGUCUUAAAUUUAGAGUUCAUGCAAUAUGCAAAAUGUUAGAAAGUGAGACACCAAACUGAAUAGUAGGCAUAGGAUUUGACUUCGGUUUUCAAUUAUCAACCUCUGAUUUUUAAUGUCUAUUUUCAGAAAAUUUCGAAAUUAUUUGUGGUGAUUAGUGGAUGUGAUUUUAUGAUAAUGAGAAAUCUUCGUCAAUUAAUAGAUAUUGAUAGGUCAUCACUGAGAAUGGCCGAAAAUAAUUAACAUUAGACUUAGUUAUAAGUGAGCUCACUGAUUACGAAUAUAAUGUAAAAUAUUUGAAACUAUAUGCUCUAAUAAUACAUCAAGAUAUAGUUAAAUGAGUCCACAAGUUUCCCCUCUUAAAGAUCAUUGUUUUUUUUUUCUGAGUUUUUUAUGAGUUGCAUUCGAAAUUUCGAAUAUAUAACAAUUUAAGUGUUAUUGACGGGUGUAGAAAUGUGGACAGAAUAACGACGUGAAUGUAUGAACCGAGGCAAGAGUUGGACUCUUUCUCCGUAAGACAAAAUUGCCCCGCACAGUACACACGGUACAACGGCAAAUGUCCCCAAAAUACAACGGUUUUAAUGAGAACGAGACCUUGUACUAGGAACUCGAACUUCCAACGAACUACUGAAUACUCGGGACUUGAGUAUGAACUAGAAGGGAGAGAAUGAGUAAAUUAAUUAUCUGAAUUAAUUUUGGUGUGUCUAAUCUCAUUCUGCAGGGAUGUAUUUAUAGGAGAAGGAAGAGUGUGAUGAAGAGGUGUCUGCCAGGAGGUGGCUGUUCGAACCAACCAAUAGUCCGAACCAUCGUACUGGUUCGGUCAAAGGGGUGCGAGCCAACCACCCCCACAUCACCAGUCUGAUCCAAACGCUGCCACGUCAGCAACCUCAUCCACCCAAAUUCCUUACUGCAAAGUGCGCCUACAAAGCGUCCAUUGGGUGCGAUGAAGAGGUGUCUGUUCGAACCAACCAGUCUGAUCCAACCGCUGCCACGUCAGCAACCUCAUCCACCCAGAUUCCUUAGUGCAAAGUGCGCCUACAAAGCGCCCAUUGCGACAAGUGCGACGUGCACCUUCCUCCAGAUUCCUUAGUGCAAAGUGCGCCUACAAAACGCCCAUUGCGACAAGUGCGACGUGCACCUUCCUCGUAGGAAUUUGAGUUUUAGCCUUAAAAGGCUAAGUCAAAACCCACUUGGGUGCACCAUAUGGUCCACCAUAGAGAAGCACACUUGAUUGUUCCUUUAUGGUGGAGAGCACUUUAUAAAUAGUUUUCAACUUAUUUUUCCAAUGUGGGAUGACACUCCACAUUUCCAUUUUCAAUGGCUAUCUUUAGACAUUUAAUUACUCAUUCAAUUCUUAAUAGAUUUGAACAAGUAAAUAUACCAAAUUAAUCUACUCAAAAUGUAGAUUCCAAAUAUGCCAUUUAAUCCCAUUAAUUACAAAGUAAUUAUGGACUAAUUAAGCCAUUUAUUCCAACAAGAAUUCAAUGGAACUGAUCUCGUUGGCAGCAUUUGUUGAUCGAGUAAGAAUUUGAUCCACAAUAUAGGACUCGAUCACAUCUUCAGCCGCGUAAGCUGCAUCUGCAAUGCGACUCUCCCAGCUAUCUUCUUCUUCGGUGUAGCCAUCGUGGGGAGAAUAAGCCUUGAAGAAAAUCUUGGAGGAAAGUAAUUAGUUGUGCGAGAGAUUCAACUUGUUUUUGGUCGAGUGAAAUAGGAGGGUGAGGAUGACUUUUAAUCUGAUCUAUUAUUUGCAUUACAGAAACUAGAGCUCCAUAGGCAGCCAUUUCCGACUUUUUUAUUUUUUCUGGGUCUCAAAACAAAGCACCAGAUUUUUCUCACUUAAAUGACAAAAGGUUUUUCAGAGACUGGGUGAAGAAGGCUUUGAUUAUAUAUUAUCAUCAUAAUUAUAUGCGUGUGGUCCUAUUUUCCACAUUAAUUUGUGGAAAUUGCUAUGAAUUAUGGCCCACACAGCUGGUUGAGACAAAAAUGAUAAGAAAAAUCGUAGCCAAGUUAUAGUACAUUAUCUGUAUUGANCCUAUUUUGGGACAAUACCCCACCACUUAAAAAAUACUCCCCUUUUAAGACAAUUCUCACCACUCAAAUAACAUUAAUUAAAACAACACAAUAAAUUAUUAAUACUUUUUCACAAUUCCCAAUACACUUUACAACUUUUUCUCCACUCUCAAUACACUAUACAACAUUUUAUUAAAACCCGUGCCACUCCCUCCUAGGAAGUUCUUUCAUGGACGGAGGGAGUAUAAAUUACAAAAAAAUAUGUACCCGUCGAAUUUCGACGGGUAAUACACUAGUCAAGAUAUAAAUGCAUAGUUAAAAACUUACCAUUAUCAGAGCGGUUAUAGGAAUACUUCUUUUCCUUAUCUUUUUUUUUUUUGCUUAGAACACCAAUAUUCUUUUUCUUUCUAUUUCAUAUUUUUGACUUGUUACCAUUAAUACCCAAAACAUAUUUAAGGCCUAAUGAACAUGAAUGAGGAUUUGAUGAAUCCUAUUGAAUUUGUGAUGGUAUUGGGUGCGGGCCGGCCGCAUAGCAUGCAGCCGGCAAAUCCGCGCCCUUGACCCAUGCACUUUAACCCGCGUUCCAAAAAUUUAUAUUAUGCUAAAUGAACUAAAAAAUAGUAUGUGGUGCAAUGGUUUGAUACGCGGCCUCUAUCUCAAAGGUCAAGGAUUUAAAACCCAAUCCUGCAUUUAUUUUUGGUUCUUUUUUUUUUGCCUUUUCGUUUUGCUUGUUGGUGAGGAGCAAUAUGUGCAGAGUAGGGAGAAAGUACAAAUCAGAGGAAUCACUCCCGUCAGAGGAGCCAUAUGGAUCAGACGAACCAUUCUUACCAGAAGGAUCUCACUCAUUAGAGGAAUGGUUCUUGCCAGAGGAGUUGCGUUCUUCAGAGAAGUCACCAUCGCCAGAGGAGAAGCCUUUGCCAGAGACGACGUUUCUACCAGAGGAGUCAUCCGUGCCAGGGAAGUCACCAUCGCCAGAGGGGAAGCCUUUGCCAGAGACGACGUUUCUACCAGACCAAUAGCCUCAACAUUUACGGAGGAUCAAAUCUCCACGAGACGAGCAUGGGGGACUUUGGGUCUGUCUCACAGAGAUGGACAAAAUGAAGUCCAGAUUUAAAUUCUUUCAGAGUUCAGAUCUGGGAACGUUCCUGGUCAACACAAUGACAGGAACAACAACUGAGUUUNCAGGAAUAGACACUUGAAAGGCCCUCAAUCAAGGUAAGCAGAAAUGCUUUCCCGUCUCCAUCUCUACAUUAACUCAGUAUUCAUGCUUUAGCUACAGGUGAAGGUGCCCGUCGCCAUCGAGCUACGCAACCAAACUACACAUACAAAAUCAGCAACAAAAGCGAAAGAGAACCUAAUGUAUAUUUUUUACCUAUUGAUCUCGCUGGAUACAGGGGAAACAGACCAUUAUAUGCCAGAGAGGAAUUGUUCUCGGCCAGAUACCUACAGUCUAGAGGCUGGGCCUUAUUCAUAGCAUUAAGGUGAGCUAUAAUACUCUGGUCACGGGUAGAAGGGACUUCGGGAGAGGCUGGUUUAUAAGUAGUGCGACUUGUAUGCCAUUCUAGCUCCGAAGCACGAUAAUCGCGCCAGUUGCCGAAAAGGGUGCGCACAUAACAAUAAUAUUUCAGGAAGCCCUUAUCCAAAGAAUUCAGGGAGGAAAGAAAAGUAGUAGGAUAUUUAGGGUGAGAGGCAAAACUAUACAGGGGACUGCCCUGCAUGCGAAGGGUCUGGGUUUGACAAAAUAGCUUGGCGGUGUCCCCAACACCGUUAGCCCGGCACAAAACAUGGAAGGCAUAUAACCUCCGGAUAGCAGAAGGAGCAACUUGAAAAAAGGGGAUGUGAAAGUAAUUACAAACGUCAACCAGCAAGGUAGGGGGAGGGAGCCUCAAACCAGCCUCUAUCUGGGCUUUCCAAACAACUAUCAACUUGUGAUGGUGAAGGCUCUCGGGAGGCGUUGAAUCCUUAGAAAAGGCCUCGAACUUUAGACCUUCAGGACGCCUACAUUUGCUUCUCAAUCUUUCCACCUCCGCGACACUAAGGCGGGAUGGAGGAACUAUUUUGGGGGGUUGGCGGGGCUUUUUCCCUUUUUUCUUAGGUGGAGAAGGAGGGGGUGCAGUUUGAGAUUCGUUAGAAACAGAGGGGGAAGGAAGAUUUUCAAGAUCUUGCCGCGAUGGGGAGGAAGAUGAAGGGUCUCGGGCAGAAGGAGAGGGCGAGCGAGAGGGUUGAGGGGUGGAGGUGCAGGCCAUGUUAGGAAAUGCUAAUCCUAGGGUUUCUAACACGCUCAAUCAGAGCACCAACAGUUAUACCACUACGCUACGAUUAAACACAAAAUUGCAGUGAAGAGGAUACGCGAGUUACCUAGGCCAGAGAAAGAUGGACGGUAAAACCUGGAGCGGAAGGGUCGCGGGAGAAUACCGGAACAGUGAGGAAAUCGCCGGAAAAUGCAGAAAAUUCGCUCGGAAAACUUGGAGAAGAAGAAUAGUGAAAAAAGGGGAGUUCGAAUCGGCUAAGUAAGAUUGUACGCGGGUAACCACCAGCACGCGGGAUGAACGGCACGUGGCAUACGGAAGAAAUCAACGGAUGAGAAUUUCUACGGAAAGGCGAAAGGACGCAAAGGUUAAAAAGUAACCUCGGGGUACGGGGAAAAUACUGUAGACUGGGCAGACAUUUAAUGCGGAUGACGUCAUCCACGCGGGCGAGUCCUCUGACUAGUUGCACCUCUCCAGAGUGAACUAGCCAGACCAGGGGGUGGGAGCAACAAAAACGCCAGAGAACAAUUUACAGGGCUUAUCUUUACUCUCUCAUAAUAUCAAAAUGCUUAUGUCUUUAUGAUUUACAGGGGAUCAAGGAAAACAACAAAGUGUUGAUGCUAAUAAUACACCACUGGUUGAACACGAAGAAUACCCGGUUCAACCAGACUAGAGGGGGGAGUGGUUGGUGAGGAGCAAUAUGUGCAGAGUAGGGAGAAAGUACAAAUCAGAGGAAUCACUCCCGUCAGAGGAGCCAUAUGGGUCAGACGAACCAUUCUUACCAGAAGGAUCUCACUCAUUAGAGGAAUGGCUCUUGCCAGAGGAAUCGCGUUCUUCAGAGAAGUCACCAUCGCCAGAGGAGAAGCCUUUGCCAGAGACGACGUUUCUACCAGAGGAGUCAUCCGUGCCAGGGAAGUCACCAUCGCCAGAGGGGAAGCCUUUGCCAGAGACGGCGUGUCUACCAGAGGAGUCACCUCCACCAGAGAUUACAUCGCCAGAGGAGACGCCUUUGCCAGAGACGACGUUUCUACCAGAGGAGUCAUUAAAUGCGCGGGAAGGUCUCCCCGCGUAUCAUUGAAAUUACCAGUAUACCCUUCCACCACGCAAGACGCAUGCAUCGAAGAUGUUUUUACUAUUUUACCCCUCCGUUUGUAAAUCUAUAAAUAGGGCCCGAGCUCGUGUAUUAUAAUCUACGCUAUCUCAUAUUUUCAAAUACAACUGAUAUUUUCUCCUUUCGUGCAAGAUUUCCGAUUGUUCUUUACUCCGUCUUCUUCCAGUCAUCACACUAGGUAUAGUUCAUGGUUUUUCUCCAUAGUUUUAGGUGUUGGUUUCAUUAAACACCAAAUAUGUAAAUCAAAGUUCAGGCUAUACUGAAAUUUGUUAAAAGUUGACACUAUAGACUAUAUUUAAUCAUAUUUUAAAGCAUCAUGUAUAACUAUGUACUAUAGCUUUUUCUUUUUAAGAAUUAAAAAAGGUAUUCAUUGUAUAAUCAAGUAAGCCAUCCGCAUGCAGGCGGAACUUCUACACCAUACAAAUGUGAAAAUUAACCUCACGUAUGCGGGACUAUUAUCCAUAUAAAGGUGAGAAAACUACAUUGUAUGCAGGCGGAAUUUGGUACAAAUGUGGGGAAAUAACCUUACGCAUUUGAGAUCAGUUUCAGUAUCCAUAUAAAUGUGAGAAAAUUACACUGUAUACAAAUAGAAUUAAAUCCAAAAUAUUUUACAAAAAAAUACAAUUUGAAUAUCUCAACUUUAUCAUUUAAAUUAGUCCUCAUGGGCAAUGAUCAAAUAUAGUUACAUUUAAAUUAGACAUGUGAAUAAAAUGGAGGGAUAUGGCAAAAAUGAUAUAGUAACUCAGAGCACCCACAUCGCGGGUACUCGAGUGAGUACUCGAGGAUGCAAGCGGCUUCGAGGAGGGCGAUGCGGGGGGGAGGUCCUCGAGGAGUACCCGAGUUAUCGGGUAUCCUCGAGAAGGCGCAUGCUCUGCACGCGCCAGAANAAAAAAAAAAUUUAAACGCGAAUUUCGACCGUUUUUCAAUUUUUUUUUUCUUCCCAACGGCUCUUUCAACGGCUUUUUUCCAUUUUCUUUUUUUUUUUUAUUCUUCUUUUCUCUCUAUAAAUAAUACUUCUCCCUACAACUCAUUCACCUACAAUUCAUUCAUCACAACUCAUUCCUUCUUCCUCCUACAAUUUUUCUUGCAAAAUAUCAUAUUCGUUCUUCCAAAAAUGUCGUCACCUGAACAUGAUUCUUCGCCCGAUUCCGACGAAGUCGCUGAAAAGUUCAUGGAGUUGGUUGAGUUGCAGAAACAAGUGCUUCAAUCAUACUGCCCCCAACCGGCGCCGGAGCCGGCGCGUGCGAAACGUCCCCGAUCAUACGUCCACCGUGAUCGUGAAGAGGCCCAUGUACGUCUUAUGCAAGACUACUUCGUCGACAAUCCAACGUAUGGCCCUACUUUUUUCCGGCGUCGAUUUCGCAUGCAGAAGGAGCUCUUCUUGCGCAUCGUCGAGGCUGUUCAAGGUGAAGAUAUUUACUUUCAUAUGAGCACUGAUGCACUCGGUCGAGAUUCUCUUUCUCCUUUGCAGAAAUGCACGUCGGCUAUCCGCCAAUUAGCCACCGGGGUUAGUGCGGAUGUGUUCGAUGAGUAUCUCAAAGUGGCGGACUCAACCGGUCGUCUAUGCCUAAAGAAGUUCUGCAAGGCGGUCAUACGGGCUUUUGGAGCCCAUUACCUGCGCCGUCCAACGCCAACUGACGUGCAACGCCUACUUCGUAUGCACGAGGUGAGACAUGGUUUUCCCGGGAUGCUCGGGAGCUUAGACUGCAUGCAUUGGGCGUGGAAGAACUGCCCAAAGGCGUGGCACGGCGCCUACACACGCGGGGAUCAGGGAGAGUGUUGGAUUUGUAUACUGAAAGCAAGAACCUUUUAUGCUUGUAUACAUUGAUUCAUGUUUUCACUAUUUUAUCUCCUAUCUGAUUGUGUUCAUGAUUGCAUAUGUAUGUUCUUUAUCUCUUUAUAAGUAGAUUAUAUGGUGUGUUGUAGAUCACAGAAGACCGUAUAAUUGGAAUAACCUUAAGAGAUAUAAUAUAAUCACAGCCGAAAUAACUAUAGGACAAGUUAUUGGUUUAGGCUGCGGUAUAGAUGGAAGUAGUUUGUCUUGACUACUUAUCUAUACUGGUACGUCAUAAUGUAUUGAUAGGACCACAGUGAGAUGUAUUCUUCUAUCUGACUUAAGUGAAGAAUCAAGAUCUUAGUAACUUAUAAGAUCUUAAUACUAAUAAGAUUUCAGAUAUAUAUGUUGAUUCGUUUAUCACUUUGAUUUACUAUGAGUGAGAGUUAUAUAGUAACUUGAGUACUCUGUAUCUUGGGUGAUAGCGGUUAAUAUAUGAUAUUUGAUUAUCUGUAUUAGUACUCGUAUCCGAUAGAGGAUAAUGACAUCCCCUUAAGGAGCUCAAUAAUGUUUAUUGUGUUAAACCCUGCAGGUUGAUUAAGUUCAAGCGCAAUAAUAAGGUUUGAGUGGUACUGCUUAAGGAUUACAAAGAGAUUAAUUAAUUUAAGCUGUCAGAGCUCUAAUUAAUUAAUGGAUGUCGGAUAUUUUAAAUACGAGGAUUUAAUAAGUCUAAAUACAAGCCCCGACUCAACACCGGCAAUAAAGGGGUAAGUCAAUAUUGGUUCUCUAGUGGAAUGAACUGAUAUUUAUAAAUUAAUUAUGGUCUGGGCUGACCAUAGAUAAAUUAAUUUAUUUGAGGCCCAUCUUUAUUCCUUGUAUCUGGUCCCUGGACUGGCCCAAUGUCUCCUAGCCCAAGUAGGGCUAGAAAUCGCCCAACACACACCAAAAUUGGCGCCCCCCCUCUUCUUCUGUAUUAUAAAUACAGCUGUCAGCUCUCAGGAAAUACACACUGAUAAUUAUUAGGGUUUUGAGAGCUGUAGGAGGCGCAGGAACGUGUAGGAGGUUUCUAGCUUGGGACUUUCAUAGCUCGUUGUCCAUCCAACGGUGAAAGCUGAGCGGGAUACAGUUCAGAAGAUCAGAACUGGAGUCUUUCGACACGAUCAUCAACGACCUCUGCAUCUGCUUUACAAGUAAGUAAUUCCUAACACCUAUGUGCAGUUGUUAAAUUCAUCGGAGCAUGUUUAAGAUUAAUCGUUGUAUGAGGAAUUAAUAAUUAUCCAAGAAACGAUCAUCGGGCAAACGGAACGUUAAUUCAAUUUAAUAUUCCUUAAGAGAGCCCACCUUGAUAUUGGAGGCCGUUGCCUCUUUCGAUUUGUGGAUUUGGCACACCUUCUUCGGCGUCGCUGGUUCAAACAAUGACAUCAAUGUGCUGAAUCAGUCGCCUCUCUUCUCCGACGUGUUAGGAGGAACUGCGGCGCCGGUGGUCUUUCAUGCCAACCAGCGCGAAUACCGGAUGGGCUACUAUUUGUGUGACGACAUAUAUCCGGAGUGGCGUUGCUUCGUCAAGAGUCCAGCAAUGGCAACCAAUCCGAAGGAGGCAAGGUUCAAGAAGAUGCAAGAAUCGGCACGGAAGGAUGUCGAACGCGCCUUCGGAGUCCUUCAAGCUCGGUGGGGAAUCAUUCAAAGUCCGGCGCGCAAUUGGUACGUAGAGCACCUGAAGGACAUCAUGUUGUGUUGCAUCAUUCUCCACAACAUGAUUGUGGAGCACGAAGGUGAAGCGGCUGCCAACUGGAGAGAUGAUGACGGGGCGUCUAGCAGUGCUUCGACGGAGAGUGCUGGACAAACACCGGUGUCCUUCGAGGAAUAUGUGCGAAGGGAUACACUUCUCCGAGAUAGACAUCUACAUGCUCAGCUCCGAAAUGAUUUGGUGGAGCACCUUUGGGCACGUUUCGGACCUCUAGGGCCAGAGUAGUUAAUUUUUAGGAAUUGUUUUUAUUUUAUUUAAGUUUUAUGUAAUAUUUAAGAUUUUAUAAUUAAUGCAAUUUAAAUUUGAAAUAAAUUGUGUUAUUUAAAUUUGAGCAAUUAAAUUUAAAGGAAAAACAUAAAAAUCAAAACUAAUGUUAUCAAGUAGGCUAUCAAGUAACCCCAAUGCAGCACUACCUACUCAAUAACACAACCCACUAUCAAGUAGGCUAUCAAGUAAACCCAUUGCGAAUGCUCCAAGGCGCAAAGUUGUUUUCUUCCAAACUUCAGCAGAACGAAUUGCAUUAGAAGAACAAGGUAUAUAUUUAUCUCAAAAUUUUCCAACUUCAUUCCUCACACAAGUGUUUAUGUUUAAUAGAAUUCAUAGGCAAGCAAUAUAUAUAUUUUACGGUUAACAUCAUUUGCAUACACAUCAAACUUAUGCAAGAAAUCAGAAAUACACUUCUAAAUCACUAAACUAGAGUACAGAAAAUCAAGUUUUCAUUCCAAAAAUUAAGUCUUUACACAAAAUUGAGUUUCUGUAAAACAAUUAUUUUCAAAGUACAAACCUAUCGAGAGAGAAAUGAGAGGGAGGAGAACGAAGCAGCGCCGACUUCGGAGGAGGGCAGCUCCGGCGAGCGGACCGCUGUCGGCUGCAGCUGCUCUGCCGACCCUUUCCAUCUUCAGGCAGUAACAGCAACGGCAGCCGGCGGCGGCUGCUGGCAGCUGACGGCGCGGCGUUCCUCCAGCGAGUGGCUGAACCACCGAUCUCUGGCAGCAACGGCAGCAGUGGCCGCCAACGGCGGAGACUCCGGACGAAGCAGCAGCAGCUCUAGGCGGCGACCACGACUCCCGGCGAAGCAGCGGCGGCAGGAUGAGAACGAGAGAGAGAUGGGCCAAACUUUAUUUACUAACAUUGAGACCUUGGGCAAUUUAAAAAUAAAAAAUAAACUGCAUGGGUCUUCCUUUUGGGGCCGAUUUAAAAAAAAAAAACACAUAGAUGGGCUCAAGUUUUAUUUAAACAUACUUUAAUUAAGCGUUGAUUAAUUAUUAAUUUGGGCUAAGUUUUAUUAAUUACUUAGUUCCUUUAAUUAGUUCAUUAUUGGAACCAUAUUAUGUUUUAUUAAUUUCUAAUUAGAAUUGAUUAAAUUGCUAAUUAGAAUUAUAUAUGUUAAUUAGAAUGGAUUAAUCCAUUAAUUAGACUUAAUGUCUUUAUUAUGGAUUAAUCUAGAUAAGAAUUAUUUAUUUGAUUAAUGGAAUCAUUUUCUUAAAUCAAAAUUACUUAGUCUAUUAAUUAUUUCCUUAAAUUAAAUUUUAUAUACACGACUAAUCUUUAAUUCAAAUUAGUAUUAAUUUGGAUUAGAUUAAUUAAGUUAUUAAGAUUUAUUUAUUGAGACUUCAAAAGUUAGUUGGAUUAUUUCUAAUUUAUUAAAGAAGGGUAUUAAAUACCCUAAGCGGAGAUUAUUAUUGAUAGGUGCUAUUAGUUAGUAAGGUCUUUAAUAUAGUUUUAUUAUUUAAUCAUAUUCAUGAUUAUUAAUAAAACUAAUUAGGUUGUUGCUAGUGAAUAUUAAUCACUCGAACAAUAAGGACCUUAUUAAUUAAAUUAGGAUUUUAAUAAAAGAGAGAGAAAAUAAAAAAGUGAAAACCCUUGAGAGCACAAGAGAGCAAACUAAGGGCCGAGCCUCAUUAAAACCUCAACACGAGGAAAAAGAGUACUCGUAAGGAAAGUGUGCUUAGUGAGCUGAUUUAGGAAAAUUUCAGAAGCUCCGGCCGAACCAUCGCCCCUAAAUAAUCCCGACUCCCAAAAAACACAAAAACACAACCGAGAAAAUAACAAAAACAAUAAAGAAAAAGAAAAAAACCAGCACUGCCGACACCAACUCUACUGAAGUCCAAGGAAGACGAACUCCAGCCCUGCCGAGCAUAAGCGCUGCCAAAGUGCCAAGCCAGAGCAGAAAAAACUCCAGAGCUGAUCCAGAUCCAGGGCUGGCCAGCAGGGCCAGAGCUGGCCCGAAGGACCAGCGCUGCAGACGCCAGUGCUGCCGAACUCCACAGCAGCCGAACUCCAGUACUGCCGAGAACCAGCGCUGCCGAAGACUGAACAGAGUUGAAAACCUCCUGAGGUAGUCAAGAACCCGAACAGACCAGCAGAGUUAGAACCGACAAGAAGGGUCAGAUCUGUCGACUCCAGCGUUGUUGAAGUCCCGAGCUGGGGNACUCCCGCACUGCCGAACCCAGCGUUGCCAACCCUCCGAGCCAGAGCAGAAGACCUCCAGCGCAGAUCCAGAACCAGAGCUGGCCAGCUGAGCCAGGUUUGAUCCGUCGAGCCGGAGCUCACUAGCUGAGCCAAAGCUGACCAGCAGCCAGAGCAGAGCAUAAGAACCCAGCAAAGCAACAACAAAAGCAAACCUCCAUCCCCAACUAGAGCAGUCGUACCACAACACAGUCGACAAACAAGAACCGCAUCAAUCGAACACACAAGGUUGCAACCCAUCACCUCCGCCGGAUGUGGCUAUGAGUGGCCAUAUCAAGACUCACAUCAAUCUUAAUUUCCUCAAUGGCAUGGGGCCACCACCUUUCCUCUCUUGUAUAGUUCGCCAUAAUAUCAGCGGGUUUAUUUCCCUCUCUAUAAAUAUGAGACACUUGAAGAUGAAAAUCAGGAAGAAUGCUCAGAACUUUGUUCCAUGAAGCCACAAAGCGCCAAGGAACAGUAGUUGAACGCUCAGAAAGCAAAUGAACAAUAUACAUAGAGUCCGACUCAACCCAUAAAUGAUUCCAGCCCCGAUCAUGAGCAAUCAAGAUGGCUUUAAUGACCGCAAGGAGUUCAGCUUCAAAAGCAAACCCCACACCCCCUUAUAGUGGAAACAACCACGGACCCAACUGAAAUUGUCACGGAAAACACCACCACCAGCUAUGUUUCCAGGAGAGCCCAUCGCAGAACCAUCCGUGUUAACCUUGAUCCAAGGCGACACCGGGGGCCACCAAUGCACCGUUAUAAACUCCAUCGGAGGAGCAGCGCGAGACACAACUCCAAUCACACAAAGGAUAGUAUAAUCUUUCCAAGAGUUAUCCAUAUGCCCAAGCUUAAAACUAUUCUCUAUUUCUUUGAAAGACACCUUUACAAUCCGAAUGAUUUGCCUAUGCUCGAAACGCGCAUUAUCAAAAAUGCAAGAGUUCCUAAGAGACCAAAUAGCCCAUAAGAUACCAAUGAUACCCGCUCUCCAAUAGCAGUCCAACUGAGAACUCAACUUAUGGCCCCAAGCGCGAACUAAGAAGCUAUGAAUAUCAGGAGCCACUAUAGCUUCAGGGAAUUGAAACCAAGUGAGAAACUCCAGCCAAAUAGUCUGAACCCGACUGCAAGACCACAAGAUGUGAUCCAUGGUCUCCUCAGCAGUGAGACAGAAGACACAAUGAUUGGGCAUAAUCAUGUCGUGCCUGAUCAGACGAUCAUAAGUAGGAAGACGUCCAUGAAGUAUUCUUCAACAGAUUAAAGAUCGACGCACCGGAAUAUAAGGCCACCAAAUCCAAGACCCCCAGCUAAUCUUAGGAAACAUGUGGCAAUUAUUAGAAAAAGUAAGAGCAGCUGUGACUGCGCCGUGCAGAGAAGGUUUCCAAAACCGUGUAUCCUUAGCGUCGCCUAAGGGGAGAAGCAAGAUAUCAGCAACAAUCUCCGGAUAAUUAUUAAUAAACUCCUGAGUAAAAUGCCAGAUAUCGUCAUAAAAAUAAUCAGCCACCGAAUGGCCAAGAAGAUCCGCCACAUAAUGAGGUAUACGACAUUUUUCAUUGAUCCUAUAACCCAACCAAUCAUCACACCAGAAGUUCGUGGCAGUACCAUCGCCAACAUAGCAAUAAGAAUUAUCAACCAGGGCACUAACCUCCUCCCUAAGGCCCAACCAAACUGAAGAAGAAGCAGAAUCACACCUCACCCGGCCAAACACAUACAAGUAGCGAGCCUGAAGCAUCUGAAAACCGAAACCCUUGCCACAAAUAACCUUCCAAGCCAUCUUCAUCAAAAAACAUUUAUUCAUAAUAGAGAACGAACGAACACCCAAACCUCCUUCCUCCUUAAGAGCGCAGACUCGGCUCCAGCUAACCGAGCAAGAAGGAGACUUCAUGAUAUCCCCAGUCCAAAUAAAAUUACGACACUUCUCAUCUAACUCAUAAAUCAAAGAUCUUGGCCAUUUAUAAACCAACAUAGAAUGAGUCACAGAACUCUGAAUAAUCGAUUUUACUAAGCAAAGACGUCCUGCCAUGGAAAGAAGGCGUCCUCUCCAUCUAGAAAAUUUCACCACAAUCCGAUCAUGAAUCGGCCAAAAAUAAGAAGUUCUGCCACGACCGUGAAAAAUAGGCACCCCUAAGUAAGUGAAGGGAGCCCUGCCACACUUUGUAACCGCAUAGGUCUUGGAAGAGAAAUAAAUAUGCGAUUUCUCAUUGCUGCAAACCUGCCUAGACAUCCAGCUAUAGUAAUCAAGAAUUUUUUUAAUCGUCUUCGUAUUUCUAAUAGAUCCUUACAGAACACCAGAAUAGCAUCCGCAUAUAAAAGAUGAGUGGGAAACGGGAGAUUGCGAGUCAUAGCCAUAGGAAUAAGAUGACAGGAAUCAGCGCAGUUAAUGAACAAGGAGCUCAGAACGUCUUCGGCAAUACCGAACAAAAUAGGGGAAAGAGGAUCGCCUUGCCGAACACCUCUCGUGCAGCCGAAAUAACCAUGAAUCUGACCGUUAUAAAGAAUCGACAACCUUGCUGAAUGAAGAAUGAUAUCAAUCCAUUUAAUAAAUAUCCCAUCAAACCCAUAAGUUCUAAGAGCAUUCAGGAAAAAAUCCCAACGAAUGGUAUCAAAAGCCUUCCUGAUGUCAAUCUUGCAGGCCAUAUUCUAACCUCGCCCCGUACGACGCAUACAGUUGAAACCCUCCGACCCCAGCAGGAUACAAUAAGGACCUUAUAGUAAGCAUGCAUUCCCAUUAAUUAAAGGUUUCCCAAACGACUUAUCUUGUAUUCUUAUAAUAAAAGUGUUAGGUCCGGGGGUCUCGAAUAGGUGUAUGGGGGGGAGGGGAAUACACCUAUAGGCUAUUUUUAUGACUCUCUACUGACCUCAAUUAGAGGGAUCUCAGUCAGAGAUUGAAACGAAACUUUCCACGCAAACAAAGACUCCUGUUUUACUGAAAUCAGUUUUGACCAACAGGGUUGACGACUGAUACUGAAAGCUCUUCAGUAAUGAGUUAUCAGUUAAGUUACUGGAACUUAACUGAUUCAAAUAAGGGCUUCAGUCGUGUUUGCAAAGAUAGAGAUGAUAUCACUCUUCCUUACUAUCAGAGGAUAGUUCAGUCAGAUUGAUAUCAUACCCAGCGGAAAUUAAACUUAGUUUCGCAAUAGCCUCGGUGGAGCAAGUUGUUGGAUUAAGCUUUCUCUUUGCUCUUAGUCAGUGUUCAGUUUUAUCAAUUGAAAUAGCACAAAUAUGAAUGUAAAACUGAAAGCUGUAAAUAACACAGAGACUUUUACGUGGUUCGGAAAAACCCUUUCCUACAUCCACGGCUGGUUGAUCAGACCAACAAUCCACUCCGCAAGUGCUUGCCUGGUGCACUGCAAACCGUACCCGUGUGCUUGCCUGGUGCACACAACCGUAAACUGAAGAUAACCCCUCUUCAGCACCCACACACCUCGCGUAGGAUUUCCCUGCUAAGCACACCUCGUGCUCAGACUUUUCACUCAGAGUUCAGAGUACCUUCCUGAACUCCGAAUCACUCAAACACUCUUAUGGGGGAGAGGUUUAAACGAGUGCCAACUAUACUUACAAAGAACAAGUUCUUUGAAGCAAGUUUGACCUUUGGCUUCUGGGUAAACAGAUAUAUGCCUAGGGUCUAAGAGAAUGUAUGUAAUCAGCAGUGACUGAUUUUAGCUUUGGAAUUCUCUUCUUCGAUUCAAGCUUUGGGCGGUUAAGCUUUAGGCUGAGUAGCUAUUUCGGCAGAGCUUCAGCUUAUGUUGUUGAAUCGGUGAAGAUUGAAGUGAUCCUCGAGCGCUAUUUGUAGGAGAACUCUUGAAUAGAUCCGUUGGCGUAAAUCGUCCUCAAGAUUUCUUCCGUUGGAGAGCAAUUCGAAUUUGGGCUGAGGCUUCAAUCUUCGAGGUUCCUUGUCUGUGUGGAAACGGCGCUCUUUGAUGGACAGGAGACGUGACAUCUCUGAAAAGUAACCACCAGAUAGGAAUGACCUCUGCAGAGAUAAGAUAUUGAGAUCUCUGCAUUUAAUGCGGCUGUACUUGUGCGUACGUGGAUUCCUCUGAACGUUGGAAGAUCAGUCCUAGGAGGAAUGUUCAACUGAUACUUGACUUAAUCAUCAUCAAAGCAUUAAAUAAUCGCAAUGCAUUGCAUUAACUGACAUCUAUUUUUGCCGCUCACUCGCACCGAUAAAUAAAAAAUAAACACAUAUGUUCACGAUUAGUCUAUACAAAUCUAUGAAUGCUACAAAAUGCAAUAAGUAAGAAUGUAAUUCACGAUCAUGUUUUUUUUGCCUCUAACCCACCCACCCUCACCCACCCGUCAAUUUUUUUUGUUUAUCUCUCUUAGAUUUUUGUAAACAUACAUGUUUUCCAUUCAUAAAGUUUCACACAAAAAUGCAUAACCCUAUACACGAAUAUGCAUUAAAUUGUAUAUAUAAAAUGUACUCUCUCCGUCCCUCAAACAUCUUUCUCUCUUUCUAUUUUGGUCCGUUCCCAAAACAUCUUCCUAACCUAUUUUUGAAAAUAAUUUCAUUAAUUAUUACUUUUACAAUUUCACUUUUUGUGGGAUACAUUCUCUACUUUCACUAACUAUUACUCUUACAAUUACACAAAUUUUUUGUGGAACUCAUUCUCCACCUAUCAAAUACACAACUAACUUUUAUUAAAACCUGUGUCAUCUUCCCUUAAGAAGAUGUUUGGGGGACGGAGGGAGUAUUGCAUUUUUCGACUAAUUAGGUUUUUUUGCCGCUAACCCACCCCACCCUUACCCAUCCGUCAUUUUUUUUUUUUACUUUUUUUGUUGAUUUUUUUUUAGAUUUUUGGAAACAGACAUGCAUGCAUAACCCUACAGAUCAAAAUGCAUUAACUUGUACAAAAAAAAUGCCUUGCACUUUUAAAAACAGACAUAUUUUUGUGUGUAAUGAUAUGCAUUUUAAUGUUUAUACAUAAGCACUUUUGUGUGCAAAGUUAUGACAAAAAAAAAAUUAAAAAUAAAAGAAAAAAAAAAUUGACCGGGGUGGGAUGGGGGGUGUAGGUGGGUGGGGUGGCGAGAAAUACCAGAUUUGUCGAAAAAUACAUCAAUUUUUGUACAAUUUAAUACAUUUUUAUGUGUACGAUUAUGCAUAUUUGUGUGAAACUUUAUACAUGGAAAACAUGUUUGUCUUAGAAAAUCUAAAAAAAUCAACAAAAAAUAUUAUAUAUAUUUUUUAAUGUUUGAUUUAUUUUUUUUCAAUUUUACCCCUGCGCGGAUUUGGCCUUGUAAGGCCUCUGCCACGUGUCAGAAUCUUGGUGCGCCACAUGGACAAAAUAUGUGGUUCAUAAUUGGUACUACAUACUAUUUAAUGCUUGGAUACUACAUGAUCCCACUCAUAUAUAUAGGAAAAUGAAUGUUUGCAAAGAAAUGAGAAACAAUCUCAGCAAUUGAUCAUGAUCCAUCGAACGAUCAAUAAUUAAGAUUAAAUUUUGCAUCCAGAUUUUUGAUGAACACAUCGGUAAUUGUGUUGAACGUAUCCAGGUUUCGAACCCCAAAAAUCCCAAACGUUCAAUAAAAUUAUUUGUAUGUUCACCCGCAUUACUGACAUGUUCAAUGUUUCUUAAUUUCUUGUGUAAACUCUUUUUUUCUUGUAGAAACCAACCUUAUAUAUAUAAGCAUUCCAAUGAGAUCCCCUAUAUGUAUUGAGAUCUUAGAUUGAUUUGUAAGUGUUUAUUUAAUGUAUCAUAUGGCUAAUAUUUAUCUAGAGGGGGAAAAGUUUUACAUGGGUUCGAAUCCUGGAAGGAGCAAAAAUUUUACUAAUUUUUUGAAUAUUGUUAUUCAACAUUAUAUAUUGUCUUAUUCAUUAGUCUCAUGAUAUAUAUCUCACGAAAAAUAAUAAUUUCACUGGAACCUACCCUUAUAUAUAUAUAUAUAUAUGGUUGUGUUAUACUAAGAAUGUUAUCUUUCAUAAAAAAUAAGAAUAGGGUAUAAGUCAAUAUAUUGUGUUUCAUAAUGAAAUUCAAUUAAUUGAUAAAAAAUUUGCUCCCUCCAAAAUUUGAACUCAGAUAAAAAUUCGCACACUCUAGAUAAAUAUUAGCCAUAGAAUUUAAAAAUCCAAUGUUACAGAUUUCAUUAUCAUUUCUCAUCACAUUUGUCCAUUCUCAUUUGAUCAUCUCCCUAAUAUACAUAUGUAUAGGGGAGGGCUACGGCAAUAAAAUAAUUCGCCCCCUCUAGAUAAAUAUUAGCCAUAGAAUUUAAAAAUCCAAUGUUACAGAUUUCAUUCUCAUUUCUUGUCACAGCCCGCCCUAACUAGGGAUAGUUAGGCCGAGUGAUCCACGACUAGGGAUGGGGUUAAAGAAGAAGGGGAAGAAAAGGGGAGUCAUUUAUAGCCGUAAAACUUACUCAUCUUAAUAAAACUCGUCAUUUUUAUUCAUUAAUACUCAAUUGAAAACAGUCUAUGAAAGACAGCAUAAAACUUAAUUAAUAUCAUUAAUCAAGUUAGACAUCAUAUGAAACCAUUCUCUUAAGACUCAAAGUAUGACAUAACAUACUAUAACAUCAACAACAUCUUGCAGCGGAAAGUAGCUAGACAUAUGUAUGAAGACAUAUUCUAGAUAGGUUAACUAUUUAUUAACAACCCUGGAGACUCCGCUCAUUGCAACACCAUCAUCACAUCAGCUCAACCUGCACAUUUAGAAAACAUAUGCAGGGCUGAGUACAAAAGCACUCAGUGGGCACGUAUGCCUAGGUAUAAAAAUACAUGCUUCAAAACUGUAAAUUGUCAUGCCAUCAUAAACAGUACAGCAAGGGAGUUUUUUCGCUAAAAAGGCCCAAGCUUACUAAGAUCAUUUGUGAUUCUUAAAGUUCGUCUGCAGACUAAGUUCUCUUGUAAUCUAUCAUAUCUGGAACUUUGUGCCGGAGAGGUGGCCACCUCUCACGGUCACUUGACCGGCCAACCCGCUAGAUGACUCACGGUCACUGGUGUACACUAGUCCUAGCAGGAUAGCUAUCAACUGCUCAGGACCCGAAUUCGAUUGCAUCAUUGGCAAAGCCAAAGCAGAUAGAUAUCAUACUAAAAUUUAAACAUUUUAUGGCAAGACAAUACUUGAAAUAACUUUAACUCAAAGAUUUUAUCAUGAAAUAACUUGCUUGAACGUAACAUUUAAACUCAUUUGAUAUAUAUAUGAAAAUAAUACCCACCUGAUAGCAAAGCUUUACUAAAGUGCAGUGAAUCCUUGACUAGCUCGCACUCUCGUGCUUAACCUUUAAUCCGAGAAUAUAAAGUAAGAAUUUAACUCAAGGAAAAUUCUCAAAUAAUGAGAAUGCGAAAAUUAACUAUGCAUGACUCAUAUUCCAUAAUUAAUAUUCUGAGAUAAUAAUCUGGAAGAUUCUAUUAUAAAUCUUAAUUGUCGGAUUAAAUAAAAUUAACUAAUUGAGGAUCGUCUCAUGAGGGUGGAUAAAUAAUUAAUCCGCUCAUCUUAGAGUAUUCUAACUCACUUACUAAUUAAUAGCCUCAUUCUAAAUUAAUCAAUAAUUAGAAUUAGCUCAAUUUAAUUAAUAGAUUAAUCUAGGCUAUCCUUAAAUUGGGCCUGAUUUUAAAGCCAAAAAAAAAAAUAAAUAGGCAGUCCAAAUAAAAAUUAAACUCUAGCCAAACUAAUUAAAUACAGCCCAUUAUCAAUUUAGAUAUGCAGCCCACAUAAUUAAAAUGAAGGCCCAAAUUUUCGGCCCAAAGAGAUAAAAAUCAGAUGGCCCAACACAACUCAAGCCCAACACAUUAACCCUUCUUCCUCAUUUAGCACAGCCGCUUCAUCUCUCUCUCUCUCUCUCUCAAAAAUUCGCCCCCUCUCUCUCUCAGCCAUAAGUUCCGCUGCCGCGGCUUCGUCUCCGGCGAAGGGCCACCGGCCUCAUCUCCCUCCGACCUAACCAAAUCGCGCCGCCACGAUUCCUCUCUGGAACUCCGGUGAGUCAGCAGCGANCUGGUUAACUUGCUCCUCUAACCUACCUAGACGACUAGCAAAAUCAUCCGUCGUAGUAGUGUUCGAAACCUUGCCAUCAUGAGAAGUGAUUCCCGCUGCCGCAAGUGCAUCCUCAUUCCCGCUGCUUGUCUCAAGAACCGAAGCCUUACGGUCCAAAUUUGAGGAAGUCAGGUCAUUCCCCAAAGCAACCUCAGUUGCGCUUCCAUCCGGCAUCUCAACCUGAAUCUCCUCGUCCACCUCCACAUCGCUCCCAGCCUGCUGAAUAUCAUCCCCCUUGUCAUCCGGAGCCGUCGCCGCAGCUGGCUGAGGCCGCAGCUCCUGAACCGCCGAAACAACCUGGAGUUGUUGCUGCUCUUGCUGUAUUUCUUGCUCUUCCGUCGAAAGAAGAGCAAAGGAGUUCCCCGGAGAACGCUGUUGCGCCCCGACGGCCAGAUCCGUUGAAGCCACGUGCUUCUUUCCCCUCUCAACAACCUGCCACUCAGUGCCAGGCAGUGUCUUCGGAUCUGGUAGUUCAGGCACGCCUUCAACAGUCGUAGAGUCGAUCUUAGAGACCGGUUCUACACGUCUUUUUUUCCGACACGUAUCCUGUGCAUGACCAGUUAUUUUGCAACUAUCACAAUAGAGCGAUAAAUUUUCGAAGACAAAUUCAACGUAAAAUGAAAUAUCCCCGCGGUCAAUCAGAAGAGAAGAAGAGGGAUUUUGAGACAUAUCCAUUUCAACUAGUAUGCGUGCAAAUUGCCCAAAUUCGCGCCCCACCGUCGCUCUAUCAAUCUUCAAAGGAUGACCCAAAAACCGUCCAAUCCCGGAGAUCACCUGUGGAUUCCAAUACUCAAUUGGCAGAUAGUGUAUGCGAACCCAAACAUUCGCAAAAGGAGAGUUCUCUUUAAAAGGAUCAAAAUUUCGGGUCCAUUUACGGAGUCGGAGAUGCCCCUUUGAGAGUUCCCAAACCAUUUUCGCCUUUGCUAUCGUAAAGUCCGCUGCCGAAGUAAAUCGGAGCGUAAAAUAACCUUUUCCCAACGGAAUGAGUUGCCAAUGAGAGGUUAAACUCCAUAAGUCCUGAAGCUCCAGUUUAAGUUCCAUAGUUGAUCGAGGCUUAUCACCUUUCCGAAGCAGCAAGCGCCCCGUCAAAGCAAAUUCGAAUUCCUUGACUUCCUUAAGAUAAAGAUCCAUCGGUAUUUUGAGGGAGAACUGAUCACCCUCUUUCGUGGGCUUGAGAUCAUGGAAGUUAUGCGCUGCCAGAUCCGUCUUCUUGCCUGUGGCAAUCGCAUAAGAAACCCUAGUUUCCUGCACGUUAGGGUUCUUGGAGGAGUUGUCGACUACAGAAGUAGGGACGAUAGAACCGAUCAGAGCCUUAGCAGCAGCGGGCGAGCGCGGCCGACCUGCAACUGCUCCGGCAGAAGAUCCCGACCCCAUGAGCAGAGAACGCUGAAAUGGAGAAAGGGAUGAAUAAGUAGAUUGAGAUCGAGGUGCUUCAAAAUUGGCUGAAACCAAGGGGAGAUUGAGUCCCCCCUUAUCUGGACCGACGACCGUGGAAGCCAUCUGUCGGAAGAACGGACGUCGGCGGCGGCGGUUAAGGAUGGCAUGAGGCUAGGGUUAGCGAGGGAGAAAAGAGCGUCAUCGAAUCCUCUGAAUUUUUCUAAUGUAUCAUAUGGCUAAUAUUUAUCUAGAGGGGGAAAAGUUUUACAUGGGUUCGAAUCCUGGAAGGAGCAAAAAUUUUACCAAUUCCUGACUUUGUAGUCAACAUUCUCAUGCUUAGGUAGAUAUUAGUAUUGUAAUAGCUAGGUGGUUGUGGUGCAAAUAAUUAAAAUACCCUUUUGGCUUCAAAAUUCUAAAUCUGUAAUAUGAAAUGCGUAUUUGUGUAUUUGCUUGAUAUCUGAUUUCUAGAUCUCUUAGAAUAAAUCUAAAUUAAAUCCGUAGAUUUAAUUCUUUGACUAGCAUCUAAAUUAAAAUACCGCAGAUUUAAUUUGCUUCACAAGCCGAAAUAAAUCCACAACUCAAAUAAAAUAAUAAUAAUAACAACUAAUAAUAUAAUAAAUAUUUCUAUUGCACUUAUAAAUAACAUGACUUUGCUAAGUCAGUUAUAAUCUGAAAUAAUAGCAUUGACUACUUUUCCCUAAUAUACAUAUGUAUAGGGGAGGGCUACGGUAUAAAAAUAAUUCGCCCCCUCUAGAUAAAUAUUAGCCAUAGAAUUUAAAAAUCCAAUGUUACAGAUUUCAUUCUCAUUUCUCAUCACAUUUGAUCAUCUCCCUAAUAUACAUAUGUAUAGGGGGGGCUACGGUAUAAAAAUUUCUUAACAUAUAAAAUACGAACUAGCUAAAAUGUAUUAAUUCUAUAUAGAACACGUAUGAAUUCGUUGUGUAAAUGUAUGAAUUGCGAAAAAUAAUUUUUUUGCUGCCUAUGAGAUUCGAACUCGUGACCAUAAAUUCGAAUCUCAUAGUUUUAAUGUAGCUUUCAAAUAGUUUUAAUUUUAAUUUUUCAUUUCACUUUUUAAUUAUUAAUUUCUAAUCUUCAAAUGCAUUUAAAAAUAUUUUUAGCUUAAGGAGAAAAUAAAAAUGAAAAUUAGUGUAUUGUAACAUUUUUUGAAUUAUCUCAUUUUUUAAUUAAUGUAAUAUUAAAUAAUUUUAAUGAAAUUUUUAUUAUUAAAUUAGAAGUUAAAAUUAAUUGUAAAUAAUAUUAAAUUAAAUUUAAAAUGAAUAAUAAAAUUUGAGAGUCGAGGCUGAGACUCUUCCACUGGAAAGAGUGGGCUUUUAAAUAAUGAGGAUCACUUUUAAGAGUCCAAUCAGAUUCUUCACUAUGAAUACUCUUAAAAAUAAUAUUAAUAAUAAUAAUUAAUUAUAUUAGGAGUGGAGAAAGAUUUCGGCGUAGCAAUUUUUAUUUAAAAUAAGGUCCAUUGUCAUCUUUCGUCUGAAUCUUCAAUUUUUCACCAGAAUUAUAUUGUGUUACUAUCCCGUGUUAACAUUGACAACUCUUGCAAAUAAGCUCAUUUGUCUAUUUGAGAUUCUUUUAAUUAAAAUAUAUUAAACACACUAUUAUCAAUCCACUAUUAAGUAGGGUAUAUAGCUUUCCUUCCUCACCAAUCACAUUGAAGAGUAUCCCUUAGAAAAAAAUUAAAGAUAAGUAAUUUAACCUAGCCACAAUUCACAAGGAAACUCGUCGAAGCAAUUGACGCAUUAUGAUUAAAUUCAAGUAGAUAUCGAGAUGGCAAGUGGAACCCAACAAAUUAAUAAUACAAAGGUCCAAAUCUCAUGGAUGUUGCCAAUUCAUGAUAUGAAUGAUUGAGAAAAUGGAUUUUCACUUGUAUUUUUCUUCAUACAUAUUUAAAUUGUUUUUUUUUUAAAGAAACAAACUAAAGUAGCUAGCUAGAUGCAAUGCACAGUCUUGAAUGGACAGGUAUGGGGGUAGACCCUGUUUCUAAGAGGAUGAACAAUGUGUGUUUCCCUAAAUAAAUAAAAAGUUUAUGAGAUCACUUUUUCACUCAAAAAAUCUCUCUGAUCAUGUGAAAUCCCAUUUGACCAAUUGUUAUUUGUUGCAUGUUUUGGAAUACAUAUAUCAUAUAUGCAUGCACAAGGAUGACAAACCAUGGCAUGUCAUGGCCCCAUUCUAACAAAUUAAAUUUGAUACAUGUAUAGUCAAUUUAUAUUCUUAAUUUAUGACAUGACACUACGUUUCGUUUGUUUUAACUCAACGCAUCAAUUUAAGUUUACAACUUAUAAUGCCAUCAUCAAAUUAAUAAUAGUAUAGAUAUAUUUGUACUCUAGUCCAAUUUGGCAUUUCAUGUAGGCAAAUUAAGAUUUAACUAAGAAAAUGAUGUCCAUCAACAUUUUAUGUACCCUUAUUUGGAGAAACUUCAUGAGAUUAAUCAUGAAAAAAUAAUCUGACCAUAUAUGAUUGGAACAUACAAAAUAGAGUUGAAUUUAUAUAUUUGAAAUGUAGAGAGCAGAAUAGCAAUUAAAACUUAAUUUCAGUGCAAUAAUAUACGAAAAUAUUUCCAACGUUCUAUUUUAUUUUCUGAUACUACGCAUAAUUCCCUAUAUCAUUUAUAUAUAUAGGGGGCGCUCCAAUGAGACCCUCUAAUUUUGUUUCAAUUAAUUAGUAUUGUAUUAGUACGAUGCGCGUAGGAUGCACUGUGAAUAUAAAUUUUAAAAAGUUAAUAAGAAUUUUAAUGUAGUAUUUUGAAUUUUCGAUUAUAUAAUUUAUAAUAUCUUAUUAAUAUAUUAUUCAAUAAUAAUAGAUCUCUAAUUUCCGAUUAAUAAGAAUAAUUAUCCUUGUGAUAAUUUAAAGAGUCUUGAUACGUAGGUUUUCUCUUAAUUAAGAAAGAAGGGAAAUAAAAUAAAUUGAGAUAUUUAUGUUAUUUCUUCAAUGGGCUAGCACAUUGAUUUAAAAUCAAUAUAUAGAUAUAUUUAUGCUUUAAAGUAUGAAAGACUAAGUGCAUAAUUAUUUUCAUACGAGUUCAUUUUUAAGUCAGGUUUGAGCGAAUUUGGGAUCGUAGAAGGGGCCACAGGUGGGCCGAUUUUGGGCAAAGGCUUGUGCCAAUUUUAAGCCCUAUUAUUUAGUUAAAUAUCAGCCCAUUUUGAAGCCCAAGCUCAUAGUGUGAUCAACCUACCUCUUUUUUUUUUUUUUUUUUCCUUUAGUUUUUAAAUAUUUUACCAACAUAAUGAUUAAUGUAAAUGCGUGAGAAGUGUAAAAGUCUCUACACCAAUGCACUCAUGCAUUGGUGGCAGCCACCCUACCCCUCCCCCUAGGAAAUUUUUGGUCCCCUCACCCCUCUCUAAAGCCAUUUGGAUGAUCAAACUUCUCUCACACUCUUUAGAGCAUCCGUAGUGGGGGGCUCGGGAGCCGGUGCGCAUUAGGCUCGACCGAGCCCCCACCCAAUACCGCACCCAGCAGACGCGCUCCAGGCUCACUUCUCCGCACUCGAUGCAGACGAUAUUUUAGUUGGGCACGUGUGCUGCACCGCCCUUUAAAUAAAAAAUAAUAAUUACUAUUUUUCAAUCGAUUUUUUUUAUGAAAAUUGUCUAAAACUUCAAAUUUUAAUUUUAAUUUGAACUAAAUGUAACUUCACUAUUUAUUGUGUACUACACAUUGUAGAGAAUCUUACAGUUUUCAACGUGGGAUUCAAUAUAUUAUCAACUUAAUGUAGCUUUACUAUUCAUAAUUUACUACACAUUGUAGAUAAUCCUACAUUUUUGAAUGUGUGAUUUAAUGCAAUAUCAACUUAAUAUAGUGCUUCACUAUUUAUAGUGUACUACACAUUGUAGAGAAUCCUACAUUUUUCAAUGUGGAAUUCAAUACAAUAUCAACUUGCUUCCAAAUAGUUUUAAUUCUAAUUUUUCAUUUCACUUUCAUAUUAUUAUUUUUUAAUCUAUAUACAAAUACAUUUAAAAUAAGGAUAAAAUAGAAAUGAAAAACUAUCGUAAUAUUUUUUUUAAUUAUGUCAUUUUUUAAUUAAUGUAAUGUUAAAUUUUAAUUUUAAUGAAAUUUAUGUUGUUAUAUUUAAUACUAAAAUUAAUUGAAAAUACCAAUAAAAAUAAAGAUAAAAUGAAAAGAAAAUUUUAAGAGCCUGGAUGGAGGUUCUCCCACUAUGCGGACCAUUUUUAAGAGGCCAUAUGGGCUCUCCACUAUGGAUGCUCUUAACUAUCUCUAAAAUCUUAAAAGUCACAUCCCUCUUCAUUUCCCCCUCAUUUCCGUCCCUCCUCAUUUCCCCCACUCUCACACGUCUUCUCCCACCGUUCUCACACUCCAUAGCAGCUCUUGAAGCCCCUGGUUAAGUAGGAAGGCAAGGACAAAACGUGGGAAACUGAGAGCGUAAAGUAAGAGUGAAGAUAUUGCUAAGGGUGAGUUUUCUUUUGGUUUUUCAAACUAAAAAAUGCUUGAAUGCCAUGAAUUUUUUCAUAUGUGUGUAGUAUGAUUCGUGGGGGUAUGUAUGAUGGUCUUGGAUGAUGUUUUUGGCGAAGUUUUAUGGAGAUAAACCGUGUAUAAGGUGAAGCUGAGAAUCUGCCGUAGGCACACUACUCUGGCAGUGUUUUGCAAGGCGAAUCCAUCCAUUCAAACGGUGCCCAAAAAUUUCCAAAUUUUACAGUGUGACCAUUCAUAUAUCUUCUGUAUUGUGGUCCAAUUUCAGAAUUUUCGGUGCCCAAAUAUUACCAAAAUAUGUGGGUUUUCAAACUUUGUUUACCGUCUAGAUUUCAGUCUUGGUAGACGAAUAUUGAGAGGGCACAAGUCAAGUUUCAAACUAAGAAAACCUUUGAAACUUGAAUAUGUUGCUCUAGACUUCCAUAGAUUUCUUUCGACACCGCCUCACCAUUUUUGGGUGAGGGAAAUAGUUGGUGGAAAUUCUUUAAGUCUAGUGUUUAUUCUGUGAACCUCCCAGUGAAUUCUACGAACCCACGACUUUGGGAAGGCAAAAACCAACCCAAACCUUUGAUUUUUGAGCCCAUGUUUCUACAAAAUGUUGUUUGCCAUGAUGUGAACCUAUGUGUUACAUUUCAUAAUUUUUGGUUCAUCCUAAGGUUGUUUUUCCUAUUUAUGUUACAAAUCUGCUGUACUUGAAUCCUAAAUGUGCACUGAACUUUAAGCGUUAAUAUCUCCUGAACCAUGAACCUUUUUAGGUUGAAUCCAAUUAGAGAAGCAUUCUACACUCUCCCUAGUUUUCGGAUUAAACCUUGAGUCCCCAGUGGACAUUUGAAAUGGAAAAUAUGAAUUUUUAAAGAUAGUCCACAGACUUAGCUUUAAUCUGGCAAUAUGAAAUUAUCAAAUUUUGCUUGAUAAAUGUCUAUCUUUAAAGGGGCAUAUCUUGCUUGUUUGAACUCCUAUUGACUCGAUUCAAAUUGGAGAAUGAUAUUUGCAAGGUAUAGUUUUUAAACCUUUUUCAGGUUGAUGGAGUCGGGCGCAGUGGAGGCCAAGAGGUGGUGAUGGUCCGAAGCGGUUAAGAAGGCCGGGGUUCCCUUGUCAAAAAUCCAUUCCCUGAAUCUUUGCUUACAAACUAUUUAUUUUGGUGGUUAUGUCCUAUGUGGCAUUUAUGAGCUUAUUUAUUAUUUUUAUUAAAUAAUUGAACAUUUGAGUUGCUUUUGAGCACCAAAAACCUUGACAACGAAGACCCCAAACUUGACCGGAGUCUUCAUACUCUGUGUCAAGUCGAUUUUCCUUUUAACAGAACAAUCUAAGAAUAGGUUAAUGAAUUCUGCUAACUAAUCGAGUUUUUCAACACAAGAAUAGAUAGGUUAAUUAUUUUUGCUAAUUAACCUAGAUAAGCACCACACCCCAAGUCUAGCAUGAUUGGUUCCUAUAUGAGUCGGGCCGUCACAUUCAAAUACAUUUUAUUACACACGCUUGUGUGUGUGUCUAUUUAUUUAUUUAUUAUUUUUAAAAUAGUAUAUAAGACAUUCAUUUUCUUACUAAUAUAAUGAAUAAAGAAAUAAGAACAAUAAAUAUAAAGUCAAACAAUCAAAUAUUUUAUAAUAAGUCGAUCAAAUCUAUCUUUUAUUUAGCUACGAUCCCUUUCUAAAAUAAUAAUACUUAAAAUAAUAUAGUUGAUGAGUAAAAUACGUAUUAACUAGGAUCGUGACACGUGUGUAUCUAUAAUUGGAAAGGAUCUCGGAGAGAAGUAAGCCACCAAGGCUGCAGUUAUAAAGUGUGGAGUGGUGUCUUGCCCAAGGGUGUAAAUAGUAAAUUACCCAGAAGUAUCGCAUAUAGGGAUGUAGAAAAAAUUGAGUAGGGUGCUCGCCCAGGGCUAUGUAAAUCCUCGCCUUUCAAGGAAUGGCCCAGUCAUGUCAAGGCCCAUCCCUAGAUAAGAGGACAAUCCCCCUUCCCUCCCCGUGUGGGCAAAUUCGAGCAUCCAAAGUAAGUAGUACAUCAAGUUUCAAAUUGGAAUUGAUAGUGCGAUUAUAUAGCCUCUCGACUUACUCACUAACCAAGAACAUGAUUUGUCCCAUGCCAUUUUAAUCAAAUAAUAAUAUUAAUCAGACAUCUAUAUGCAUAUGCAAUAAACGACAAAUUAGGAGUGAGCAUGAAAGAUCUUACAAACGGAUAAUUUAAAUAGACAAAUGAGUGAGCUCUUGUGAGGUAUAUAUUUAACUGUAAAGUGUAAAGCCUACAUACACCCCAUUUUAAAAAAGUUACAAAGAAGCUAAAGCAAAAAUUCAUCUGUUAAAGCCAUAUUUUCAAUAUGUAAGUGUAAUGCCCCGCUCUUUUAAAUAUAUAUUAGAUUAAACAUGUGCAUUAGUUAUAAAAUUCUUUUAAUUAUUUAUUGUGACUAUUUUAUUCAGAUAAUAUUAUUUCAGCAAAAGUCUGUAUAAGAGAUACAGAGCUGCGAUUUAAUAUUCAAUCAUGAAUCAAACCAAUAAUUAAAUUAUUGGUUUAGCUACACGUUUGAGACCUUGCAUUACCAGUUGAUUGAUUUAAUCAAUAGUAUUAGAAAUUUUAGAUUUAUAACCGAUUUCAUAAAUCGUGUUAUUUAAAUCGAAUUGUUAGAAUUAUAACUUGAGCGUAUGUGAAUAAUAAUUUUAUUAUUACAUGUUAUGUGUGUUUAGUAUUAAGUCGUGAAUUAAUUCCGACUUUCACGUAUUAAAUCCCAAGAUUGAGAAUUUAAUUUAUAUAAAUACGACGAGUAUUUAUUAAACGAGAAUUGGAGAAUUAUUACAGAAACAAGUACGAACUAUGAGAAAUUAGAUCACGAUAAAUAGUCGAAUCACUACACUAAUACAACCAAACCAAAGAAAAAAAUUACAAUCUGCAAUCUAGAGAAGAGAAAGUAGGCAGGUGAAGGGUUGGGAGAGAAGGUGAAUAGUGAAGUACUAGUUCAAGUGAAUAGUGACAGUCGCGAAUAGUGAAAUUCGUGAAUAGUGAAAAUUAGAUAGUAAUUUUCACGUGGUAUAACGGGUUGUGAGUUGAGUGUUGUGAGUGUUGUAAACACUGUGCAUUUUUCUCCCUUUAAAUAUAUCUGCAGCAGCUCCGGAGACGUAGGCAUAAUUGGCCGAACUCCGUUAUCAAAUUUGUGUCUUCAUUUUUCCGCAUUUAUUUCGCUCUCGCAUAUCUGGUUAGAGGGAAAUCGCAUAUAAUUUCCCAACAUCCAUGCAAUCCAAAAAAGCCAAGAUAUGAGGAAAAGAAGAUCACGAAAGAAACAAAAUUUUCAAAGAUUGCAUGCUCAACCUUCCCCUCCAAUUCAAGAUUUCUGACUUCAAAGAUUUGCAGAUUUCUAGCAAAUCUUAUUUUUUUUUCAAAAGUUGUAGAUUUGCAGCUGACUUUCCUUCCAACUCCCCUCCAAACUGAACUACACGACAGCAAAUCUAUUCUUGCUGUUGGUCAAAUGGGCUAGCACAUAGGCUACUAUUCACAGCUCUUGCCAUUUCCAUGCAUUUACGGCAAAUAAUCUCAUUGUCAAAAGUUGAUGCAUUGUUUUCAACUAAUAAUCUCAUUGUCAAAAGUUGAUGCAUUGUUUCAACUAUUACUGCCAAUUGUCUUCAACUAUUACGGUCUAAGUUUGCCUAUAAAUUGAGCUUGCAGCAACAUUUCAUUAUUCACCACCUCUCCCACAAUUUCACUCACCCCAUUCUCGCAAGAAGUAGAAGGUUCACUCUUUAUCUCAUCAGCCAAAGUCCUCCUUCAUCCCACACAACACUCUCUCGCCAAGAAAAAAACUCAGAUUCCAUAUUUUAGAUUCAAGAACCAAGCUUCAUACUUUUAAGCUCAAGUGAGCUCCCUUCGCUGGACCGUUUAUUCGCCGACNNNNNNNNNNNNNNNNNNNNNNNNNNNNNNNNNNNNNNNNNNNNNNNNNNNNNNNNNNNNNNNNNNNNNNNNNNNNNNNNNNNNNNNNNNNNNNNNNNNNNNNNNNNNNNNNNNNNNNNNNNNNNNNNNNNNNNNNNNNNNNNNNNNNNNNNNNNNNNNNNNNNNNNNNNNNNNNNNNNNNNNNNNNNNNNNNNNNNNNNNNNNNNNNNNNNNNNNNNNNNNNNNNNNNNNNNNNNNNNNNNNNNNNNNNNNNNNNNNNNNNNNNNNNNNNNNNNNNNNNNNNNNNNNNNNNNNNNNNNNNNNNNNNNNNNNNNNNNNNNNNNNNNNNNNNNNNNNNNNNNNNNCAAUCAACUCUGUUGUUCGAUUCUUAAUUGAUUUUGAUACAACUAUUGUUUAAUCUAUUGAUAUAAGAAAUAUUAGGUAGAAAUAAAAACUUACAGAUGCUUGAAUCUCCUCUUUCACAAUGUAAAAAGGGUCUUGAGCUGAUGACAUAAUUAAAUCCAAAUAGAGACGGUCAGUGGAGAAGAAUUAGAGAGAGAUAAUAGAGUCCAAGCGAAGAGGAUGUUGUGGUGAUGGUUUCACGGCGGCCUUCGCUGGGAAUCGAAAAAGGAGGCUGCUGUGUUCGCCGGAUCUGUGAAGAAGAAACGUAUGAGUUAUGUUUGAUGAUGUUCUUAAAUUUGGAGUUGGGGCUACAUAACUAAAUUAAGAAAUAAUAGUUGGAUUGGGGUUAUAUAAAUUUCAAAAUUGUACGUAAAUAUUCUUUUAAUUUAAUCUUUAUAACUUAUAAUUUAUUACAAAUUUUAAAUAGGACUGUAGGGGUAAAAUGGUACAAUUAUAAUUAUUUUAUUAAAUAAGGGGCUAUAAUGAGAAAAUUGAAGGCUGUGUUUAAAAUUACCCAAAGAAAAAAGAAGAAGUUAUUUUAGGGAUGGAGGAAGUAUAUAUUAUAUAGAUUUCCUGCAUCCCAUUACUAGGAACCAAAAAUUUCCUACAAAGGCCCAAUAAUGUGAAUAAUAUAAAAAUGGCACCCAAAAAUAAAAAGCCCAAUGCAUUAAAAACGAAAAAGGAGUAAAUUCGAGUGAAAGAAAUCUGAAGUUUUGGAUAAAGAAAGCUACUGAAAAAUUCUGCAGGGCAGUUUCACUCCUCUCAUACCGAAAUCCUGAGGGAUAAAGCUCUCGAGAACUCGAAAAUGGCUUCAAUUUCUUCGUCGUUUUCGACUAUAACUAUUCCUGUGUGCAAUUCGUCAAUUAUUUCUUCGAGACCGCAAGUUUCGUUCUAUUGUUCGAACCCCUCAAAGUUUAUGGCGUUGAAGCCUUCUCGAAUCACUUCUUCGAGAGUUAUGGCUGCUCCUGAAGUCCUGGAAUCCAAUGCCGAUGCUAGUGCAACUGAGGUUUUCUUCUACUGACGUUUAAUCCGCUGAAAUUUGUUUUCAAUUUGUUUUCGAUUUUGUGAAAUGUUUUUUGUGUGCUAUUGUUUGUGGGUUUUAGGAUGAAGCUCCCUCUGCUUCAGCAUUGAGUGUGGGUGCUGAUUCGGAUAAGGUAUUCUCGUGUCCUCCUUGUAACUAUACUAACUUGUAAAACAGUGGCUUAUUCACUUGAGAGCUGAAAAGUAGUACUAUUAACAUUUCGUCAAUUGGAUGCUGUUGAUAUUUGCCUUGGGCAUAUUCUGUACCUGUAACAGUUUUGUUCUCUUGAUGUGAUUGUGAUAGCACGAGAUUGGGUGAUGUUUUUUCCAUUGUUAAUGCUUAUAUGUCCCAUUUGAUUAGGGUAUCUCAGUUAUCGCAUGCUGCCUUUCUCUGUAAUUAAUUUCCAGACCUUUCGUUUUGUUUUUCUUUUUCCUAUGAUUUUCUUACUCUUAAAUUUUAAAGGACUCAUUUGUGAAUUGACGAAAUCUUCUUGAGCUGGCUCCACUUGGCUAAGAGGGUGGAGAUAAGUUUGCAUCUGUUGGUCCUGUAUGAAAAUUGUGCCAUCUAAAAGAAUAGGUAGGACAAUAGUAAGUCGUUUCUAGUUUUUCACGUGGUUCAAGUCUUUAAAACAGAUUAAAAAUGAACCCAAAAAAUGAGAAGUUGUGUGAAUAGUGGAAGAAAAGGUUAUUGUAUUGUUACAGAAGUUGUACAUGUACUUUGAGUUAUACACUUUCUAUGAAUUGGUUUAUGUAUUUCAGAUUUAAUGUUGACUUUUGAGCAAUUUGAUUAAUACUCUAGUCAUGGCAAUAGUGACAUAUCAAGAGUGAACACAUGUUAGAGGAAGAAAUGUAAGAGAGACAUGGAGAUAAAGUGUAGGAAGGACAUUUAGUACCUGGAUUAUAUCUGUGUAUGAAUGAAAUUAUGAAACAAUGUGGUGAUUGUGAAGAUACCUACUCUGAAUUAAAUAUAGGGUGUUUUUUUAAGGAGAAAUUUCUAUAAUUAUUGGGUCGUUUCAUGCAUCAUCGUGUCCAGUUACUGGAUAGUUCGACAAAUCGAUGUGUUUGAAUCUUUCUUCAAACAUUUUCAAGGAUUAAGGCUGAUUGAUCAUUCAGUUACAUGCUUGAAAAGGGGCUGGAAAAGCCACAUACUAGGAUCCUGUACUUACGCAUACACUUGAAUCUGGAUACUUUUCAUAAGGCUUGUACUUGCAACCUUUUAGUUAGAUGGUGAUGAUUUUUACAUGUGUUUGUGUUGAAAGCUCACGAUAUUAUAAACAGUUUACAUUGUGUUGAUGUUAAAAAUAAGCCAUCUUUAGGCACGUGUUGUAACAACUUGAAUAUUCUUCAGGUUAAAAAUAUAAAUAUCUGCUCCUUCAUGGAAUUAUGGUUAUAAAUCAAAACUCUAGCUCCUGGUUCAAGUACUCUUAUAUGUGACUUUCUCCAUCUUGAAUAUACUUAGACCCCAUUGAAAAUUGUAGACAUGGUAUAUUAUAUAUCUCCUCACUUUUAGCAGAAAUUUGAUGUGCUCUUAUCUUGUUACAUACAGGCACUAAUUUAUAAGAUUUUCCUUAUAUCUUAUCAAUUGCUUCUGAGAAUUAAAAAUUAGUUAAAUACAAACUCUUCCAUAUGGUUACAUUUAUCUAAGAAAGUUCUAUUAGAAGUGUGGAACAAUUGAGCUUUAAAUGUGUCCUGUCUAUGUUAUCAGUAGAUCUAAUUUAAUUUAUUGAUAGAGUUCCUCACAUAGAAUGUUUUUAAAUAUUAACACUCACUGAGGACCUUCUUAUUAGAAUCAAAUUCAUGGACGGUGUAUCAACUUCUGCAGUCCAUGCAUAAACACAGUCUAGUUUUUCAAUAAAAUUACAUCUCCAAAACGGAGAUCUACAUAUAAGGCAAAGUAAUAAUGGUUGUUGCUGGUAGAAUAUAGUUUAUAUGAUCUCAUAUAAAGGUCUGGGUUCUAUUUUUUCUUCAAAUUCAUUUAUGACGAUGCACUGACCAGUUUUCUUUUUCUUUGUGAGAAAAUUCAGUAGCCAGUUUUAGAUGGAUAACUGAGUUCAUAGACCCCGAAAAACAUGUAGUACGUUUAAUAAAUUCAAGAAUAUGUUUCUCAAGAAUAACCAAGAUUGUUUUGUGAAGGAAACAGCAAGCAUGAUAGUGACUCUAAUACCACAAAAUGAAGAAACACGAUACUAAAUUCUAUGUAAUCGACCUGCCCUGAAAAUUCUAGGACAUUCUCUUUUUUCUUACCAUAACUAAUAACAUCCCAGCCAUAAAAAUACAGCCCCUCAUGGAGUCUGAUUCAAACUAUAGAACUUAAAAUUACUUAAAAAUAAUAACUAACUAAAAUAUUACUCUUCCAAUAACUGAUCAGAUGUCCUCUCUCUAUUCACAGCCUUCUUUGCCUGAUGAUGAUAAACUUGAAAUUUGUCGAAGUGUAUUAAAUAAUUCAUAGCCGAUGUACCUUUACAUUCUCAUGUUUCUGCGACCAACAUGGGGUGCAGCUUUUUCACAAAUAAUUAAUUGCGAGUUAAAUGCUCGAUUGGGGAACUUUACCUGUUCGCUUUGCGCUUUGGUGGCCUCCAACUGAUCUUACGAGUACUAAGAGGGUAUUUUUCUUUCAGGUUGCCCCUAAACAGAAGAUUAGAAUCAAAUUGAGAUCAUACUGGGUACCCCUGAUUGAGGACUCAUGCAAGCAGAUAAUGGAUGCUGCAAGGACAACAAAUGCAAAGACUAUGGGUCCAGUGCCUCUACCAACAAAGAGAAGAGUGUAUUGUGUUCUCAAAUCUCCUCAUGUGCACAAAGACGCGAGGUUCCAUUUUGAAAUUCGAACUCAUCAACGACUCAUUGAUAUCCUUUACCCAACCGCUCAAACAAUUGACUCAUUGAUGCAGCUCGACUUGCCUGCCGGAGUUGAUGUGGAGGUUAAGCUCUAGAUUGCGGUGAUGUAAAAUAUGAUUUCUUUGUAGACAUGAAAAAUUAUUGCCUUUGUAAGUCUGAAGCUGAAUUCUGGCAGACAAGUAGGGUAAGAACAAAAUAACGCUACAUUUUGUUGUUGUGAUAGAUGAAAUCUAUGGUAUCUCCUUAUUAGUGUAUAUGCUAUGUGCAAGCAGUAAAUGUCGAUUCCGCCUGUGGUGACAUAUUAAAAAUGUAUCUUCUUUUCACGAAGCUAUGUUAAGGAAGUUCAACUAUGGUGUGUGCUAGGAAUUGAGCCG